AUUUCCACUGCUUUUGUGCGUAACUCACCCCACACCCAUGGGCAAUCUCUUCAGGCUUUUAUUGAUGAGGUGUAUUCAGGUAGCAAAGACAGCAUUCCAAAUGGUAGCUGUACAAAAAAGUUGCAGAUUUGCCAGCACUGAAAGGGAAGGAAUCUGAAACGCCAGCUGCUCUUUUCAACUCCCACAUCUCUCACUCGCUUGCUCACUCCCUCUUGGGCAAGUGGUUGCCACGCCAGGCCCUUUCCCUCCAAGGGCCAAGAUUUGCCACCCUUUCCAGAAAGAGGAGGAGGAGCAGCAGCAUCUGGAGGGGGAAAGAGCUCUGGUGGGCAUGCAAGUUCUUCUUCUUCCUGUCCAGUCCUGGGCAGCGAGAAGCCUCAGGCAGCAGGACCUAGGAAGACGCGGCAUCUACUCCUGUUCUUGACUCCAUCCCCAGAUCACCACUGUGGAGCAAAUGAGCCAACCCUCCAUAAACCCUGCGUAUCUUCUUAUGACUUCUGCUUAUCUGCAUGUUAUAUGAGACCACCACAUUGAAAGUGAAGCGUAACAGCAAAGGCUACCCAUCUGGAUUUGUACCUACACAGAAAGGGGUCAUGCAAGGAGGUGCUCUGGCUCCUUUUCUCUUUAACUUUUAUAUCAAUUUUUUUUAUUCUUCCUCUGGACAAUCCUGAUUUCCACCCACCCAAGCUAGCAGGCAGACCCAUUCUUAUCCAACUUCAUGCCUAAUGCAGCUAUACAAUCUAGGACUGCAGUCGGUGUGGAGAGAGCACUGCCAAGACUUACACAGUUCUGUGAUGAGGAGUCUUUCGUUAUAGAUACUAAAAAAACCUAAGGUUAGGGUAUUAUUGUCAAAAGACCUAAGGGACAUACAUGGCAAAUGGAGGGGAGUAGGACUGAGCAGGUUAAGCGUUAGAAGUACCUGAGAGUAGUAUUUUGAGGCAAUGGUACAUGGGCUGUGCACAAUGGGAAUGUGCCAUGGCAAAUGUGCAGAGGUGCACAUCUGACAUAUUGAUUUUUUUUUUCCAUUCUAGAGGGGGUCAUUUUGUCCCAGUGGCUGCCAAGGUAUACCAAGCCAGAGUAUUGGAGCAAUUGUUAUAUGGAACUCAGAUCUGUUCCAUCUGUAACUACAAACCCAUAGAAGUGUUCAAUCUAGAUUCCUUUGUGCAAUUUUCCAGGUGCCUAGACGAGUCUCAUAUGCCAUCCUAUGCUUGGAGGCAGGUUGAACCAGAGUUGAGGCCAAUGGGCAGCUUCACGCAUGUAGUUAUUGGCUUAAACUGCAUUUUUGCCAUCAAGGCCUUGCCCCCACCCACCCCGGUCCUGAAAGAGGAGUUCCACUCCAAGUGGUGUAAGAGCCUUUAUGAUAAAUUGGGUAGCUGUGGGCUUUCACCACAGUUUCUACUUCCACUGGGAUAUGAUGUUGUCAAAGGGACAAUUAAACAAGACAUAGCAUUGUUACAUUUAUUGUAGUGGGUAGUAUACAAAUAUGUGUAAUAAAUAAAUAAAUAAAUGCAUACUGUACAUACAGGCCAUGGAGAAGCAAUCAGGUUGACGUUACUACCUCUAGCAGCAUUGCAGAUGGCUUUUGUGUACCAGCCGGCUGCGAACCUCACAAACCUGACUACCUUAAAUCAGAGGGUAGCUUUUUCACUGGCACCGUUUUGGAAGGCAAACUUAAGAGAAUACCCCUCCAGAACCGGUUAUGUCCAUGUGGUGUGGGUAAUACUGAGUCUACUACAUUAGUCUUUUUCUAUUAUUUAUUUUACAGAGAUAUUCGCACUGAUUGAACUCUUUUUAAAGAAUAUGCCAGGCAGAUUGGAUGAAGACUAUGUUCCUUUCCUUUUGUCAGACCAGUAUGCACCCAUCACAGUUGGGGUGGCAAGAUUUUCUGCCGCAGCAUGUCAGCGGAGACAGGAAUUAUUUGACUAAUUAACAAUUGAGGCUUCUGCAUGUUUAUGUCAUGAUGUUUCUACCACCCAGCUUUGUUGUUUUGACUUUUAAUUGCUGAUCACUGACUGUAAUAAAGUUCAAUUCAUUCA